UCCCCGCACUACUAUUAGAGGCACUGCCUGCCCAGUGACUAAAGUUUAACGGCCGCGGUAUCCUGACCGUGCAAAGGUAGCAUAAUCACUUGUUCCUUAAUUAGGGACUAGCAUGAACGGCUAAACGAGGGUCCAACUGUCUCUUAUCUUUAAUCAGUGAAAUUGACCUUUCAGUGAAGAGGCUGAAAUAUAAUAAUAAGACGAGAAGCCCCUAUGGAGA
rnacentral:rRNA from 1 species